rnacentral:rRNA from 1 species
GGCUUAACACAUGCAGUCGAGCGGAGAGAGGUAGCUUGCUACUGAUCUUAGCGGCGGACGGGUGAGUAAUGCUUAGGAAUCUGCCUAUUAGUGGGGGACAACAUUUCGAAAGGAAUGCUAAUACCGCAUACGUCCUACGGGAGAAAGCAGGGGAUCUUCGGACCUUGCGCUAAUAGAUGAGCCUAAGUCGGAUUAGCUAGUUGGUGGGGUAAAGGCCUACCAAGGCGACGAUCUGUAGCGGGUCUGAGAGGAUGAUCCGCCACACUGGGACUGAGACACGGCCCAGACUCCUACGGGAGGCAGCAGUGGGGAAUAUUGGACAAUGGGCGCAAGCCUGAUCCAGCCAUGCCGCGUGUGUGAAGAAGGCCUUAUGGUUGUAAAGCACUUUAAGCGAGGAGGAGGCUACUUUAGUUAAUACCUAGAGAUAGUGGACGUUACUCGCAGAAUAAGCACCGGCUAACUCUGUGCCAGCAGCCGCGGUAAUACAGAGGGUGCAAGCGUUAAUCGGAUUUACUGGGCGUAAAGCGCGCGUAGGCGGCUAAUUAAGUCAAAUGUGAAAUCCCCGAGCUUAACUUGGGAAUUGCAUUCGAUACUGGUUAGCUAGAGUGUGGGAGAGGAUGGUAGAAUUCCAGGUGUAGCGGUGAAAUGCGUAGAGAUCUGGAGGAAUACCGAUGGCGAAGGCAGCCAUCUGGCCUAACACUGACGCUGAGGUGCGAAAGCAUGGGGAGCAAACAGGAUUAGAUACCCUGGUAGUCCAUGCCGUAAACGAUGUCUACUAGCCGUUGGGGCCUUUGAGGCUUUAGUGGCGCAGCUAACGCGANNAAGUAGACCGCCUGGGGAGUACGGUCGCAAGACUAAAACUCAAAUGAAUUGACGGGGGCCCNCACCAAGCGUGNGCAUGUGG